rnacentral:rRNA from 1 species
UACGGAGGGGGCUAGCGUUGUUCGGAAUUACUGGGCGUAAAGCGCACGUAGGCGGCUUUUUAAGUCAGAGGUGAAAGCCCGGAGCUCAACUCCGGAAUUGCCCUUUGAGACUGGGAGGCUUGAAUCCAGGAGAGGUGAGUGGAAUUCCGAGUGUAGAGGUGAAAUUCGUAGAUAUUCGGAAGAACACCAGUGGCGAAGGCGGCUCACUGGACUGGUAUUGACGCUGAGGUG